rnacentral:rRNA from 1 species
AGAGUUUGAUUCUGGCUCAGAACGAACGCUGGCAGCGUGGAUUAGGCAUGCAAGUCGAGCGGGAUCCCCAGAGUAGCAAUACGAUGGGGUGAGAGCGGCGUAAGGGCGAGUAACGCGUGGGUAAUCUACCUCUUAGUUGGGGAUAACAUUCCGAAAGGAGUGCUAAUACCGGAUGUGGUCGGGCCGCAUAAGCGGCCAUGACGAAAGGCGGGGAUCCUUCGGGACCUGUCGCUAAGAGAUGAGCUCGCGUGCCAUCAGCUAGUUGGUGAGGUAAUGGCUCACCAAGGCUUACGGCUAGCUGGUCUGAGAGGAUGACCAGCCGCACUGGGACUGAGACACUGCCCAGACUCCUACGGGAGGCUGCAGUCGAGGAUCUUGGACAAUGGGGGCAACCCUGAUCCAGCGACGCUGCGUGGAGGAUGAAGGCCUUCGGGUUGUAAACUCCUGUCAUUCGGGAAAAAUAACCGGCUGACGAAUAAUCGGUCGGAUUGAUGGUACCGGAAGAGGAAGCCACGGCUAACUCUGUGCCAGCAGCCGCGGUAAUACAGAGGUGGCAAGCGUUGUUCGGAUUUACUGGGCGUAAAGGGUGCUAGGUGGUCGCUUAUGUCGGGUGGGAAAGCCCACGGCUCAACCGUGGAAUGGCACUCGAAACUGGGCGGCUAGAGUGCAGGAGGGGAGAGCGGAAUUCUUGGUGUAGCGGUGAAAUGCGUUGAUAUCAAGAAGAACACCGGUGGCGAAGGCGGCUCUCUGGAAUGCAACUGACACUGAGGCACGAAAGCUGGGGGAGCAAACAGGAUUAGAUACCCUGGUAGUCCCAGCUGUAAACGGUGUGCACUUGGUGUGGGGAGAAUUGACCCUCCCCGUGCCGGAGCUAACGCGUUAAGUGCACCGCCUGGGGAGUACGGUCGCAAGACUAAAACUCAAAGAAAUUGACGGGGGCCCGCACAAGCGGAGGAGCAUGUGGCUCAAUUCGAUGCAACGCGAAGAACCUUACCAGGGCUUGACAUGCAGCUGCACGUCCCGUGAAAGCGGGAUUCCUUCGAGGGUGCUGCACAGGUGCUGCAUGGCUGUCGUCAGUUCGUGCCGUGAGGUGUUGGGUUAAGUCCCGCAACGAACGCAACCCCUGUGUUUAGUUGCCACCGCCGCAAGGCGAGCACUCUAAACAGACUGCCUGUACCAAACAGGAGGAAGGUGGGGACGACGUCAAGUCAGUAUGGCCCUUACGCCCUGGGCUGCACACGUGCUACAAUGGCCGGUACAGAGGGAAGCAAUACCGCGAGGUGGAGCAAAUCCUAAAAACCGGCCUCAGUUCGGAUUGAAGGCUGAAACUCGCCUUCAUGAAGCCGGAUUCGCUAGUAAUGGCGCAUCAGCUACGGCGCCGUGAAUACGUUCCCGGGCCUUGUACACACCGCCCGUCACAUCAUGAAAGCCGUCUGCACCCAAAGCCACCGACUCAACCCGCAAGGGAGAUAGGUGUCUAAGGUGUGGGUGGUGAUUGGGAUGAAGUCGUAACAAGGUA